rnacentral:rRNA from 1 species
AUAGAGACUCAGAGCUGCAUAUCAAUAAGCGGAGGAAAAGAAACUAACAAGGAUUCCCCUAGUAACGGCGAGUGAAGCGGGAAGAGCUCAAACUUGAAAUCUUAAAGGGUUUCCCUUUACGAAUUGUAGUUUAAAGAAGUGUUUUCUGUUGGAGUUUCGGUAAAAGUUCUUUGGAAUAGGACAUCAUAGAGGGUGAGAAUCCCGUAUUUGACCGUUACUUUCCAGCUGUGUGAUACACUUUCAAAGAGUCGGAUUGUUUGGGAAUGCAGUCUAAAAUGGGUGGUAAAUUUCAUCUAAAGCUAAAUAUUGGCGAGAGACCGAUAGCGAACAAGUACCGUGAGGGAAAGAUGAAAAGAACUUUGAAAAGAGAGUUAAACAGUACGUGAAAUUGUCAAAAGGGAAGCGUUUGACACCAGUGUUGUUUUCUCGAAAAUCAAUUAAAAAAGGUUGGAUUUUGUGUUGUAUUGACCUUAACAGCUUGCUUCACUCUUUUCCAGCUUUUUUAAUGCACUUUUCGUUUAACAAGUCAACAUCAAUUUCUUUUGUUGUAAAAGAGUCAUUGGAAGGUGGCUUUCAUUUCGGUGAAAGUGUUUAUAGCCUUUGGCUUCUGCAAUCGGAGAGAUUGAGGUCUGCAGCGUAGAUCCUUCGGGGUUAGAUACACUUGUGCUAAGUUAUAGCUUUUCAUAGACAACUUGUUGACUAUGUUUAGUCUUGUAGCUUACUCGCUUGUGCUAUUUUACCUACGCUUAGGAUGUUGAAGUCAUCGUAUCGCGC